UUUUAUUGAGUAAGUUAUGUGUUCUCCAAUAACUAUAACUAUUAUUAUUUAAAACAUUGAGUUUAUAAUGGAUGGACUAGGUUUGAGCAACCUUAAUUACCUUCGCAUAUUGUACCGUGCUAUACGAUACAAUAAGAAUAGUUUGUCUGUUGAUUUGUUCGUGCGUAGGUACAAAAUACAACAUGCAACGUUAUUCAAUCGUUUUUUACCCGAUUAAAUAGCAACCAACUUCUUUGCAUGAAUACAACCUAAGACAAAUCCAUGAUAUUUCAAACUGAAUGUAGUCCUACAACAACGUGCGCCAGCGCCGGCGACGCUAUGUCUAGAGGGUUCGUAUUUCACAUUCCACAUCCAGUUAAGGAACGAUCUUUGAAUGAUAAAACCUGCGAUUUUGAACUUUAUUGAUAAUUUAAAAAAAGUAUAUAAGUUACGUGAAAACUUGUGAAAAUUCAUUACAUUGUACUGGACAUCAAAACGUGAUCUACAACAUGUCGGAUUCAAAUGAUCCUUUUAACUUUCAACCCAAUACGACCCUUACUCAACGUGUUAGUAAUUAUUUUCAAAGGGAAAAUAAUGGGUUAGAUAUCCCUCCUACUUUAAAAAAGAAAAAAGCCAAUGUUGUGUAUUCAUACAUAAAAGUUCCUAAUAAUGGAGCCAAAGUUAUCAGAUUGGAAAUAUAUGAUGCGGCAAAACUACGAAACACUAUGUUUUGUGAAUGUGAUGCAAAUGUCUGUGUUCAAUAUGUCGUCGAUAGCGAUAACUUACUUUUCGAUGAAAUCUAUAAUGGAGCUCACAGUUUAAUAACGAAAAUACAACGAAGUAUGUCCUGCAUUGAUGUUACUAGUGAUUAAAAAAUAAGAGUGAAAUGCGUUUUUGUGUAAAUAAUUAUUGUUUAUAACUAACGAUACAAAUUGUCUACUCAAUCAUUAUGUAAACUUAUUCGAAUGCAAAUAAACAAACUUUAUUAUUGAA